rnacentral:lncRNA from 1 species
GUAUGUAAAUGGUCUAGGGCUGUGAAUAUUGGCAAUGUAGAACUUCUUACCUACUCAACUUAUUCCUCAAGAGACUGGACUCAGUUUGGAAAUAAAAUUAUUUUUGAAAUGUCAUCUCUGAACAAACAGCUUAUGCAACUUCAAGCUUCAGUGGAAAGAAUCAGAACACAGAGAAAACUUGCCACUAGGACAAAAACGAAGGAAAGAAUCAGCCCAGGAUGGUGAUACCAGGGUUACAGAGAGGCUGAAAUUUCAACCAUCAUUCUGUAAGAACUGCUUAGCAAUGCUUGGGUUGAAUUGGUUACAUAGGAAGCUUAGCUCAAUGCCUGUGUGCUGGUGUGAAAUGUGUUGCUCCUGUAUUAUGUCUGGUAUCUGCCAGCUAAAAGAACAGAAGACCUUCCGGGAACUAGAGUUUCUGAGAGCAAGGCGUUUUGGAGGAUUGCUUUUGUUUUGACUUCUUGAACUUUAAGCAAUCCCAUAGAUCUUGCUUUGGAAAUACAACCUUAGAUCAUACAUGAGUAGACCACUUUACUGCUUCAUCAACAUGGCUGUUUCUACAUGAGGAGUAAUGAUGAAAGGCAAGUUUCUGUAGAGGUGAGUUUACUACCACACUUUCUUUGCCAUGAACUGUAUACAAUAUUGUGUAAAAUAUCCAGGGUAUUUUGUCAAGUGACUAAUUAAUGGUGGUUCUUACAAGAGUCAUUUGUGUAGAAAAGGCAAAUCUAUACCUAUGGUCCUGUAUUUUCUUGAUAGGACAAAAAGAUUAUUCAAUCUAUGAAAGGGGUACAGUGAAAUCAGUAGACUCCCAGGUUGGUUCACCUAUGAGAUGAUACAGGUUGGUAAAUGCCCACUGGCUUCUGGUGUUACAGAUUGGACACAGAAGUAAAGGUAGCUGAAUACAUAAUUGUUUUAAUUAUUAACUGCUGUGUGACAAGUUACCCAAAAGUUUAGUGGUUACAUCAACAACAAACAUUUCUUAUCUCUUUCCAUGUCUGUGGUUCAGAAAUGCUGGCUCAGGGUCUCUAAUGGAGUUGCCAUCAAAUGUUGGCCAUCACUACAAUCACCUAGCUCUUUGUCUGGAGAUAGGGAAUCCAGGCCCAAAGUGGCUCACUCACAUAACUGUUGGCAGGAGCCUCAUUUUGCCGUAAUUUUUGGGUGAGUUUAGAGUUGCUUUUAAUUUAGAACGAGUUUAGCCUGACUAGAAAGACAGAUCUUCUGUGGUCUGUACUGAACUUCCGUGAUGUCCAAUGUGGUCUCUUCAUUCUGGCUGUUCAGAAUCUCAAGGUCUCUUAGCCCUGUGUAUGAUCAGGAACUUGUUCAGUGUAUAGCCUCCUGGUAGUUCUUUAUUCAGC